AAUAACUCAAUCACUUAUAUAAGCUCAGAUUAAAAUGAAUGAAUACAUAAUUUGUCCAGCAUUCUUUCUGAAUUUAACACACUAUAUUAUAUAAGUGACAUUUCCUGUCUGAAUCAUGUUCUGCAAGCUGAAAUUCACCAUGCUUGCAAAGAUUGUUAUACUGGAAUUUUAACUGCACCUACGGGAGGGUUUGCUAUAAAAUUACUGGGAUUGUCUCCUUUCUUAGGAAAUUUCCUUUUAGGGGGAAAACUUCAAAGCUGCUGGAUCUUUCUUAAACAAUGUAGCUGACUUCUAUUAAUUGUUCGUACCAGCGAAUUUUAGGCACUCAGUAACGAUGGCUUUCCUCUUGAGUUCUUCCACUGGAGAAAAAAAUCCAUAUUUGAGUUGUUGCUAUGUGGAUUAAUAGAGUUAGAUACUAGAGGAUCCAGACAGAUAUAUGAAUUACGGCUUCUAUACCAUAUCUGACUAAAUGCAUGGAAGCAGAUUGGAUUUGGACUAUAAUAUCUAUUCUACUGAAAGCCUUAUCUUCAGCUACUAAUGCAAAAUUUUGUGGAUGAACUGCAUUAAAAUAUUUUCAUUUCCAUGUAUAAAAAUAAGUAUUAACUUGUAACCAAAUUGCCAGAAAAUUUACUGAGAUAAUGAUACACAGGUGAUGCAGACCCCUUUGGUAACUUUCGUGCGCAUGCUACUGCACAUGAACAUCUAAAAAGCUUGAAAAUGGGGGCUUACUAGUGUAAGAACUUUGUGUUAGUUGAUCUGACCUAGAAGGGAACAUAGGCUAUUAUGAAAGAAGGUAACCUCUGCUACUUGACAAAAUAGAGCAUUAAUUGAUAACUAAUUCUAAUUCUAUUAAACGUAUAGAACACAAAACUUGUUCUCUCUCUCAGCCAUUGCUGUGGCCCAAUAUGUGAGUUAGUUCUAAUCUAUUCUCUCUCUCAUUUUCUUAAUGUAAAGGUAGAAAAAGCACCUAAGAAAACGAGGUGCAAGCAUGGUAUAUGGAAAAUAGUGCCUAAGAUCGAAGACAACCAACAAUUAAAAAUCAUAAAAAAAGUCCAAAGGAUUGAGCCUUUGGUGGAAGAGCAAGGUUUUCUCAUGUUUUGAGUCUUAGCUAAACAUAUUGCUGGUUUUGCUUAUUAAGUCGACAACAAAUCAAAUUAAAUAGAAUAACUUGUUUGAUCUAUUGUUCUUUGAUAAUUAAUUUAGCAUUUUCCUUGCAUAGAAUUUAAUCACUCUUUGUAUUUUAUUUCAAAUUAUUUUACGAAAAGGUCCUAUCCUUUUAUGUUAAGCUCUGAUUAUUUUGCUUGCAAUAACAUUAAUUUGAUUUGGUUGUUAAUAUUUACUCACUAUCUU
rnacentral:misc_RNA from 1 species